UACGUAGGUGGCGAGCGUUGUCCGGAUUUACUGGGCGUAAAGGGCGUGCAGGCGGUUUGUUAAGUGCAGGGUGAAAGCUCCCGGCUCAACUGGGAGAGGUCCUUGCAUACUGGCGAACUCGAGGGAGGCAGAGGAAAGUGGAAUUCCCGGUGUAGUGGUGAUAUGCGUAGAUAUCGGGAGGAACACCUGUGGCGAAGGCGGCUAUCUGGACGGUUUCUGACGCUAAGACGCGAAAGCGUGGGGAGCAAACAGG
rnacentral:rRNA from 1 species